rnacentral:rRNA from 1 species
CGGGUGAGUAACACGUGAGCAACCUGCCCCUGACUCUGGGAUAAGCGCUGGAAACGGCGUCUAAUACUGGAUACGAGUAGCGACCGCAUGGUCAGUUACUGGAAAGAUUUAUUGGUUGGGGAUGGGCUCGCGGCCUAUCAGCUUGUUGGUGAGGUAAUGGCUCACCAAGGCGUCGACGGGUAGCCGGCCUGAGAGGGUGACCGGCCACACUGGGACUGAGACACGGCCCAGACUCCUACGGGAGGCAGCAGUGGGGAAUAUUGCACAAUGGGCGCAAGCCUGAUGCAGCAACGCCGCGUGAGGGAUGACGGCCUUCGGGUUGUAAACCUCUUUUAGCAGGGAAGAAGCGAAAGUGACGGUACCUGCAGAAAAAGCGCCGGCUAACUACGUGCCAGCAGCCGCGGUAAUACGUAGGGCGCAAGCGUUAUCCGGAAUUAUUGGGCGUAAAGAGCUCGUAGGCGGUUUGUCGCGUCUGCUGUGAAAUCCGGAGGCUCAACCUCCGGCCUGCAGUGGGUACGGGCAGACUAGAGUGCGGUAGGGGAGAUUGGAAUUCCUGGUGUAGCGGUGGAAUGCGCAGAUAUCAGGAGGAACACCGAUGGCGAAGGCAGAUCUCUGGGCCGUAACUGACGCUGAGGAGCGAAAGGGUGGGGAGCAAACAGGCUUAGAUACCCUGGUAGUCC